rnacentral:rRNA from 1 species
GGUGAGUAAUGUCUGGGAAACUGCCUGAUGGAGGGGGAUAACUACUGGAAACGGUAGCUAAUACCGCAUAACGUCUCAAGACCAAAGAGGGGGACCUUCGGGCCUCUUGCCAUCAGAUGUGCCCAGAUGGGAUUAGCUAGUAGGUGGGGUAAUGGCUCACCUAGGCGACGAUCCCUAGCUGGUCUGAGAGGAUGACCAGCCACACUGGAACUGAGACACGGUCCAGACUCCUACGGGAGGCAGCAGUGGGGAAUAUUGCACAAUGGGCGCAAGCCUGAUGCAGCCAUGCCGCGUGUGUGAAGAAGGCCUUCGGGUUGUAAAGCACUUUCAGCGAGGAGGAAGGUGGUGAACUUAAUACGUUCAUCAAUUGACGUUACUCGCAGAAGAAGCACCGGCUAACUCCGUGCCAGCAGCCGCGGUAAUACGGAGGGUGCAAGCGUUAAUCGGAAUUACUGGGCGUAAAGCGCACGCAGGCGGUUUGUUAAGUCAGAUGUGAAAUCCCCGGGCUCAACCUGGGAACUGCAUUUGAAACUGGCAAGCUAGAGUCUCGUAGAGGGGGGUAGAAUUCCAGGUGUAGCGGUGAAAUGCGUAGAGAUCUGGAGGAAUACCGGUGGCGAAGGCGGCCCCCUGGACUAAGACUGACGCUCAUGUGCGAAAGCGUGGGGAGCAAACAGGA